rnacentral:rRNA from 1 species
UACAGAGGUCUCGAGCGUUAGGCGGAAUCACUGGGCUUAAAGCGUGUGUAGGCGGAUCGGUAAGUACCUUGUGAAAUCCCACGGCUUAACCGUGGAAUGCCGGUGGAUACUGUCGGGCUCGAGUCCGGAAGAGGCGAGUGGAAUUCCUGGUGUAGCGGUGAAAUGCGCAGAUAUCAGGAGGAACACCAAUGGCGAAGGCAGCUCGCUGGGACGGUACUGACGCUGAGACGCGAAAGCGUGGGGAGCAAACAGG